AUAAUAUAAGUAAUAAUAUGGAAAGUUUCUUUUUUAACAAGUUAAAUAAAUAAUAGUUUUUAUUAUAGAAAUAGUAAUAUCAAUUUAAAUGAUAACAGCAAUUCGGAUUCGGGUUUAUUUAAACGUGAAAUGUAAGUUAAAAACGACGAGUAUAUUAUAUAGUGAAAUAGAAGUUUAUAUUUAAAAAACAAGUUACUAUUAUUUUGGAAAAAUAAUGAAAACUGGUUUCCAAUAUUAAGUUUAUUAGCUCGAAAAUAUUUGAAUAUUCCGGCUACUUUGGUUGCAAUAAAGGUUAUUUUCUCUAUUGCGCCCAAUAUUAUUACCCCCGCAUAUAAUAAACUAGGUGAAAAUAUUAUAAGAAUAUUAAUAGGUUUUUAUAUAUUAAUUGAUUAACAAAACGUUAUUGUGGAUAAAAGGUAAUAUAUUUUUGUCUAACGACUAUUUUAUUUACGUUUGGAUUUCCAAUCGUUUUUUGCUAUUUAUAACCGUGGUCGAAAAUUAAAUAAACUACGUGCGGGUUAUGUGGGGCACUAUAUUUAAAUUAUUAAAUCAACCUGACAAAUUAAACGCGAUCCCCUUUAUUCCAAUACCGGCUGUUUUUUGUUUUUUCGUGUUUAAAAGUUUUUCGAAUUUGCUAUUUAUAACGAACAAAAAACCUGCAAACGGCGGUAUUAAUUUUACAAUUUUUAUUAAGUUUUUUAAUUGUUGUUUUAACGUUUUGGCCGAAUUCUUUAUAAUAUCCGGCACCGGUUAUGGGAUUUUUACUAUAAUUGUUAUUCAAAUUGUAACCCGCUUUAAAAAGUAAUUAUUUUAGAUAAUUUCGCUUAACGCUCCUAUUAUUUAUUUAAUUUAUUAUUUAAUAACCGCAAUGGUUUCUUUAAUUAAUUGCAAAUUUUUUGGCGAUUAGUUUAUUUAUAAAAAACCUUUCUCGCUAUAAGUUCGAGGAUAUUUUGUAAUUUUAAAUUGUUUAUAUUUUGUUAUUAUUGCCUUUUCACAUUAAAAACGCCAAAGAUUGUUAUUUUCUAUUUUCGUACCGUUUACUUUUUGUUGUUUUUAUUUUUCCAAUUAUUUAUACCAAUUAUUAAUUAACUUUCGACAUUAUACUUAAUAACGGUACGUUUUUUGUUUUUUUAUUUGUUUUUUUUUCUCGCCGCUAAUAAUUUCUUAAUUGUUGGAAAUAUUCUUGGUUUUAUCAAUUAUCGGCCCGUUCCGUAUUUCGGUUAUUUAAAUCUCUGUUUAGUAGGAAAAUAAAUUGUAAUUGGUCGUGUUGGUAUUUGUUUUGAUAUAAAUCCGUUUUUAAAUAUUAUACGAAAUGCAAAUAGGGAUAUUUGUAUAGACUAAUAUAAAACUUUUUCACGACAAUUCUUUUGGAAUAUUUUUUGGAACGUUAUUUUAAUAUUCUUUUCAAUCCGAUUAUUCUUUUUAAACCUGCAAAAAUUGUUUUGCGCGUUUUUAAUUACCAAAACACCAAAUACCUGUUCAAAAACAAAAUUAAAACCAGCCGCAAUAAUAAUAUCGGAACGGUUAACGUAAUAUUUCGCAAACGCAAAAACGACGUUUUGCUGUUUAAAAUUCCAAUUACCACAAUUAUUGUAAACCUUUGUCGAAAACGUUCUUUUUAUAUUAUAUAAAAUUAAUAAACAUUUUUUAAAAUAUCGACCGUUGGCGCGUUACCACCAAAUAUAUAUUUUAAUUGUUAUUUACAAAAAGAAUAUUUUUUCAAACGACAAUUUAAAAUCUUUAGCGUUCUUUGAACGUUAUUCCGCUGGUUAUAUUAUUGCAAUUCACCAAUUUAACUUUUUAUUAAUCGAAAUAUCUUUAAAACCAACUCCAACCUUUUUACAAUUAUAAUUGGUAACAAUUUUGGUAACGCCGUUAUUAUAAAAAAGGGAAUUAAAUAAAAAAUUAAAAACGGAAAUAUCCAGGAAAAGAUUAAUAUUUAAAUAUUAAAGUUUUAUUUAAUUGGUUUUGUUUUGUCCCGAAUAUCGCAAAAACGUUCCGGUUAUUCUCAAAUAUUUUUGCGGUUUUUUUAAGUAAAAUUUAAUACGGCCAAACAGCAAUUUGCUGUUCUUUAACGUUUUCAACGUCCGUACGUUCCAGUUAAAUUUAUUUUAGGCCGAACUUUUAAAAGAUCUUCCCGUAUUUUGUAAUUUUUUAACCCAAUUUUUAAUUUGCACAAAUAUUAAAUUAGUAUUUACAAAUUUAAUCAAAGUCCAAUGCGGCCUUUCUUUUGUUAUUACAUUAAUUGGAUUAAUUUCCUCCAAAAUAUAUCGAACUUUGUUAAUUUCCCUGUUUGUAUAUAAUUAUUUCGAAUUUAAAAAGUUAAUUAUACACUGCUUUUCUAAAAUUGUCCCCAAUUGCACCAAAUGUUAAUAUAACGACAAAUUAUCGGUACAAAUAAUUAUAGGCGCAAAGAGUUAAUUUAAUAGGCUAAUAAUAAUGGCGAUAGUAGUUUUUACUACAAAUUCUAUAUUAAUCCGUUAAUUAUAAUAUAAAUUUUACUGUUUAAUACGUUUUUCGUUAUAUUUUAAUAUUUAUUCGAUACCCAAUAUAAAAUCUUACCUGUAACGCGAAAAUCCGUUUUUUAUUCGUCGGACUUUUUAUUGCCUAAUAUAAUAAUAACGCCGAUUUGUAAACUUAACUUUUUAUUAUUUGCACAAAACCGGACGACGAUUACGAACAAUUCUGUUUUCUUUAAAUUUACGGAAACGUAAAAAAACCUUUCUUGCGCGUUUUCCCGUUACUAAUUUAUAUAUUUGUUUAUAAAUUUGUACUUCUUAUUAUCCGGUAUUAUUAUUUACACACCCGCGGUAAAAUUUAAUGCCGUUUCCGUUCAAUGAAUUAAAGUAACGUACUUCCUUUGCAUUUCAUAAAUAAUAAAUCUGUAUUUUAAUCCUAGUUAAUUCGGUUUUAUUAUUUGCAAUAUAUUAAUUUGGUUUUCUCAACGAAUUUUUCAAACUUAUUUCGUGAAAUUUAAUUUGAUAACCGUUAAAACUUUAUGUAUUUCUUAAUUUUACAAUUAUUUAUAAUUUUGCCUGGAAAUUUAUUAAUUCGAAAUUUUGUAUUUUCUUUUUAUAAACUUUUUAUUUUCCAAACUAAACGUAUUAAUUAUUUAUAUUUUUAUUAUAGCAAAAAUGUUUCCCGGUGUGGAAAGAAUAAAUAAAAAUUAUAAUUUAAUGGAACGUGAUUUGAACCUUUUUUAUAAUUUUCUUAAUAUAUAACGAAUCAAUGCAAUUUUGUUUCGGCGAAACCGUAUAAAAAUUUGAAAAGUUUAAAAACCGUAUUUUUCGGGAACCGGUAUAUUAUUGUUUUUAGUAUAUAUAUUAUAAUAUUUGUUUGGAUCGUUAUAAAAUUUUAUAUAUACGUUUGGUUAAUAUUUCCAAAUCGAAAAUUAUAUCCGCGUUUUCUAAAACCGGUAUAAACGUUAAUAUAAACCGUGAAUUAUAUUAUAUAAUUGUGGGUAAUUGCGUAAAUAAACCUUUCAUUAUUAUUGUUAUAAACUUAUAUUAUAAAAUGUUAUUUUUUAUAUGGUUGUUUGGGUUAUUUUGUAAUUUUGUUAAUAAAACGCGAUCCAAAACCUUUUUUGGCUUUUAAAUUGGCGUUUAUUUAAUAGUUAUAAUAUUUUUGCAAUUAAUAAUAUAUUGGUCUUGCGCUAUAUAAGUUCUUCGAGUAAUUUACCUGAAGUUUUAAUUUUUUUGAUUUGUAUUUAAUCGGCCAUUCGUAUAUUUUUUAUAUUCUUACUACGUAUUGAUAUAUAAUAUUUUGCGGGUACUUAUUUUUAAUCUUUUAUUUUUCGUUUUUCCGUUUUUAUAUAAUCCAAUUGCGUAUUUUACGCUUUUUCGCCCUCGGGUAUCAUUUUUGCAGGUAAUUCCUAAAUUACUAUCUCGGUUUCGGGCUUUUUCUGGUUAUAUUGGUACCGGAACUGCUAAUCUUUUAUUUGUUGCUCCUUUUUGUUUUUUUUGUAUUUUUUUGGGCUGUUCGGGUUUUGGGUAAUCGAAUCUCGGAUCCUUUGGCGUAUUUCUUUCGCCUGCAUCCCUUUAUUUUUUAAAAACAAUUAUACGGCUUUACGUAUAUAUUUCGGAACGUAAAAAAACCAUUUAUUAUAUCGACCGUUAUAAAAGUAUUUGUUACGUUUAAUAUUUUAUACGGUCCGGUUCAUUUAUAUUUUUUUUAUAUAUUAAAACCUCGAAUCCCAAUUUUACUAUUAUUAAUAUCUUUUUUUUACGUUCGGCCCGUUUUUCGCUUUAAACGUUUUAUUACAAAAGAGUUUUGGUUAUUUCUUUCCGUAGUUCUUUUUCUAUUUUAUUAAUAGUUUUACUGCGUUACCUUUGGUUCUUCGAAAGCGUCGAACUUUUGGCAUUUUGUAAUAUAACCCCAAAUAUUAACAAAAUUAAUAUAAAACCGUUUGGAUUUGCGGUAUUCUUUACCGUUUUUACCGCCGUUUAUAAUACCGCCGACGGUUUUAUAUUCUUAUAUUCGACCCUAAUAAUUUUGUAUAUUUUAUAUAGCGGUUUAUAAUAACGUUUAAUUUUAUUUUAUAAUUAAUGCGUUUCGAUUGGUAUUUGGUAAUAUAUUAUACCGAGAAAAAAGUUUUUUUAUUCCAAAAUUUAAAGCAGUAAAAUUGGUAUUUAAAUUAUAAAUAACAGUAUUUGGGGGUUCCAGGUAUAUUUUUAUCCAGUGUGCUUUUAAUACCUCCCAUAUUUGUUUGGUUAAUAUACCGUUUACAAAACGCGCUGUUUGGAAUGUAAUAUUCGCGUUAAUUAUAUAUAAAGUUGGUUUAAAAUCCAAAUAUAUAAUAUUAACAAAAAUUUCCUUAUUAAAAAUUUAUAUCCUUUCUUAAAAUAAAUUUAAAUCGCUAUAAAACGCUUCAUUUAAUUUAAUAAUAAUGGUAAAAACGGUUUGUUAAUUCCAAUAUAUCCUGGUUUAUUUUAUAAUUUAUUUUUUGCAACGUUUUCCAUAAGUGUUUUAACAACGGGAGGUCAAAUUUUUUAUAUAUUAUUCGUUACUUUUCUUUAAUUAAAAGAUUAUUAUUAUAUUUGCGUUUUUUAUAAUAUAUAUCGCCGGUUCUUUGGCUGCGUUCCAGGUAAAUAAAAUUAUAAAUGCCCCUAUUUAUAUAAAAUCGGUAUUUUAAUACCAUCGAUUUUUACAAAUCCGUUGCUAAUAUUAUUUAAACAUAUACCCCAUUUAUCCAUAUUUUAAAUAUAUAAUAAAAAUGGUGUAUUUAUAAAUAUUAUGUAAAACGUAUUUACGCCGAUUUGGGUAUUUAACGCUAUUUUUCCCACUGCCGUAAUAUUUUUACCUGUUCCAAAUCAUACCUUAAUUUUAUUUGAGUUUGUUUUAUUAAUA
rnacentral:sRNA from 1 species